AUUGAACGCUGGCGGCAUGCCUUACACAUGCAAGUCGAACGGCAGCACGGCAUUCGGUCUGGUGGCGCGUGACGAAAGGGUGAGUAAUAUAUCGUACCAUACAUUGUAGCGAGGGAUAACUAUCCGUCAGGUUAGCAAAUACCGCAUUCGCUCUACGGAGUCAAGCGGGGGAUCGAAAGACAUCGUGCUAUACUUGUUGCCGAUAUCUGAUUAGCUAGUUGGUGAGGUAAAGGCUCACCAAGGCGACGAUCAGUAGCUGGUCGGAUAGGACGACCAGCCACACGGGAACUGAGGCACGAGCCAGACUCCGACGGGAGGCAACAGUGGGGAAUUUUGGACAAUGGGGGCAACCCUGAUCCAGCAAUGCCGCGUGAGUGAAGAAGGCCUUCGGGUUGUAAAGCUCUUUUGUCAGGGAAGAAACGGUUGUGGCUAAUAUCCAUGGCUAAUGACGGUACCUGAAGAAUAAGCACCGGCUAACUACGUGCCAGCCGCCGCAGUAAUAC
rnacentral:rRNA from 1 species